GAUGAACGCUGGCGGCGUGCCUAAUACAUGCAAGUCGAGCGAACAGACGAGGAGCUUGCUCCUCUGACGUUAGCGGCGGACGGGUGAGUAACACGUGGAUAACCUACCUAUAAGACUGGGAUAACUUCGGGAAACCGGAGCUAAUACCGGAUAAUAUAUUGAACCGCAUGGUUCAAUAGUGAAAGACGGUUUUGCUGUCACUUAUAGAUGGAUCCGCGCCGCAUUAGCUAGUUGGUAAGGUAACAGCUUACCAAGGCAACGAUGCGUAGCCGACCUGAGAGGGUGAUCGGCCACACUGGAACUGAGACACGGUCCAGACUCCUACGGGAGGCAGCAGUAGGGAAUCUUCCGCAAUGGGCGAAAGCCUGACGGAGCAACGCCGCGUGAGUGAUGAAGGUCUUCGGAUCGUAAAACUCUGUUAUUAGGGAAGAACAAAUGUGUAAGUAACUAUGCCCGUCUUGACGGUACCUAAUCAGAAAGCCACGGCUAACUACGUG
rnacentral:rRNA from 1 species